GCCGUAAUAGCUCAGUCGGUAGAGCAUUUCACUCGUAAUGAAAAGGUCUCGAGUUCGAGUCUCGAUUACGGCU
rnacentral:tRNA from 1 species